rnacentral:RNase_P_RNA from 1 species
UAAAGCAGUCGGAUAAUCGCACUUAUGCAAAUAAGUGAGGAAAGUCCGGGCAUUCAAGGACAGAUUGCCGGAGAAACUCCGGGGCGUGUGAACGUGCGGAAUAGUGCCACAGAAAAGAUAACUGCCGAUGGCUUUGGGAAACUUUAGCACAGGCGAUGGUGCAACGGUGAGUUAAGAGCUUCACCAGCAGAUUUGAGAAAAUUUGGCUAGGUAAACCCCAAUCGAAUGCAAGAUUAAUUGAAGGCUAAGGUUGUCCGCUAUCUUCUAAAAAUCGCUAGAGAUUGUGAGUAAUUACAAUUCGAGACAGAUGAUUAUCUAAAACAGAACCCGGCUUAUGGAUUGCUUUAUUUU